rnacentral:lncRNA from 1 species
AUACGAUAUUAAUGAGAAUGCUUAAAAAGAUUAUCUUCUGUGGGAUGACAUAAUACGAGAUGAUUGCAAUUUUUGUUUCUAAAAAGUAGAUGGAGAGAUUAAGAUAAAUUAUGGAAUAGAGUCAAUCAUGGUGAAUUAUCACUAAAUUCAGCCAAAAGUUUGCUUGAAGUCUGUUGCACCUCUAUGUUCUGUCCAAGUCACUUAUGACAAUAAAAUGAGAUUUGAACAGAGGAAGCUUUUCAGGUUACUUUCCAACCAAAUGACAAUCCAAAACUACUAAACUUUCACUGCAAAACAGUGACAGCAGAUCAUGAGAAAGCUUUAUGUAGCCAGGCAUAGGCUUCCCUAGGAGUGUCUGGGACAUGCUCCUUCAUGUUACUAGAGGCAUGUGCUUUGCAUGCCCAUCAGGUCUGCGAAAGGCAGAGAGAGUGAGCUGGGGAUGUCAAGUAUGUGCUUCCAAGUGCAUGAUCAAGGGGAGGCUGGGGGAGCUUCAAGAAAGAGCAUUGGAAAUUUCAUCCAUCUUUAACACUGCAGAUGCAAGCCUGCAUCUUAUUUGGGGGGCUAAUCCAACCCAGAGGGUGUCAACAGCACAUGCAGCUCUUCGUGAUCCUGGAGCAGGAGCAAGCAAAUCUUGAGAGCACCACGGAGAUUUGAGAACAGUUGUUCUUUGGACGGUAGAAUGGGUUUCCCCAUGAAAAGUUGCUUCAGGGACAUUAAAACUGGAAAUGGAAAUGCCGCAGCACAAAGCACACAAAGUGGCGUUCUGACGUGAUUAUGGGCAAAUAUAUAUUACAGCCACAUUAGUGCUAAGUACUAAAUAUCAGCAUAAAUGUUUGUCUAUUCCAGCUGCAGAUUCUAACAGAGAUUUAGACACAUAAGCGCCUAAUAGUACCACAGC